CAUCGGGUACCAUUGCUAGAUGGUCACUUCAAUUAGUACAGGAAUUGGUUCCUAUGCUACAGGCUUAGGUUCGAACCUGCGGGGUCACACACAUUAGAGGUUCCUAUUUGAUCUGAUGGCUGGUGUAGAAUCCUACAUGUUUGGGACUCAAUGAUCGAGAAUCAGGAUUCUCUGAUCAUGAGUUCCACACAUUAUGGGUACCGGGGUCAAGAGUCCCACUGGUUGGGACUUUUCGAUCAGGGUUACAUAUCGAUGAAUUCUGAUGCCUGAUUGUCCAUCGGAUUUGGA
rnacentral:lncRNA from 1 species